ACUCCACGGCCGGGCCCAAAGCGCGGAGAAGAGGGUCCCCCCGGUGAAAAUGGACAGCCCGGAAUGACUAAUCCUCCCCACCGGACGGUCCCUGCAGCAUAGCCGGGCCCGGACCAGCUCACCCUAACUUCCCGCCAAGGGGGGGAGCAGUACAGGUAGCAGUGGUCUUCCACAAUAUGUUCGGCUUCCUGGAAGCAGGGACAUUACUUGUUGCCUUGCUGCAGCUUUGAAGAGGGGAAAGCUCCUAUAGGGGAAGGGAAACCGACCAUUUACAAGGAACAGGAAGCAGCAUGAGGUGGCAGCAGAACAUUUCACAGGAUGAUGGACAUCUGCCAUUGUCAUCCAGUGUACACAUGAACUAAAUAAGAAGAAAAACCUGAAACAUCAACAGAGUUUACCUUUUAAACUUUAUUCUUUUCUGUUUGUCUGCUAUAUAUUUUUAACAAAACAGUUUAACCUUGUCAGCUAAAUAUCAUUCACAGGUAUAGAAAAAUUGGACCUAUAUUCCAACAAUAAUGGAGUACUGUGGCCAAAAUUAACUUAUCCCCUA